rnacentral:rRNA from 1 species
UACGUAGGGGGCAAGCGUUGUCCGGAAUCACUGGGCGUAAAGCGCGCGUAGGCGGCUCGUUAAGUCCGUUGUGAAAGUCAAAGGCUCAACCUUUGAACGCCGAUGGAUACUGCCGGGCUAGAGUCCGGAAGAGGCGAGUGGAAUUCCUGGUGUAGCGGUGAAAUGCGCAGAUAUCAGGAGGAACACCGGUGGCGAAGGCGGUUCUCUGGGAAUAUCCUGACGCUGAGGAGCGAAAGUGUGGGGAGCGAACAGG